rfam:Schizosaccharomyces pombe chromosome II, complete replicon
GUCUACGGCCAUACCUAGGCGAAAACACCAGUUCCCGUCUGAUCACUGCAGUUAAGCGUCUGAGGGCCUCGUUAGUACUAUGGUUGGAGACAACAUGGGAAUCCGGGGUGCUGUAGGCU